rnacentral:snoRNA from 1 species
UCACUUAUACAUGCGACUAGAAUCGACUCCCUCUUUUCGAUCGCUUUCCACCUUUAAAAUGUAAGCAUCAACAAAAUCGUGGCCAUCUUCCUCUAUGUGA